CCUGUUUCUAAAGGUCAGUUUGACGUCUGUCUGGCAUCCCAGCUAACGAUUAAGAUUAGCUUGUAAAGAAAUAUUGCCAAUAUUUCGUGUGGCAAUAAAAGCCACAGUCGUUUUUGCUUUUGCACUUUGGAUGCUGAAUUUUCCCAUGAAACAGUCACAUCUAGGUAAAUGUGACUUUUCUUCUGUCAAAUUAUUCCCAAUAUCUGUAAAAAUGGUUUUCUUCUGU